rnacentral:rRNA from 1 species
CGGAGGGAUCAUUAAAGAGUUCUAUAACUCCCAAACCCAUGUGAACAUACCUAACGUUGCCUCGGCAGGUCGCACCUACCUUGUAGCACCCUACCCUGUAGGGCCUACCCGGGAGGUGCGGGUAAGCCUGCCGGCGGCCCACCAAACUCUGUUUGAUAUUGAAUUCUGAACCUAUAACUAAAUAAGUUAAAACUUUCAACAACGGAUCUCUUGGUUCUGGCAUCGAUGAAGAACGCAGCGAAAUGCGAUAAGUAAUGUGAAUUGCAGAAUUCAGUGAAUCAUCGAAUCUUUGAACGCAUAUUGCGCCCAUUAGUAUUCUAGUGGGCAGGACCGUUCGAGCGUCAUUUCAACCCUUAAGCCUUCGUUGCUUAGUGUUGGGAGCCUACGGCAACGUAGCUCCUCAAAGUUAGUGGCGGAGUUAGUUCACACUCUAGACGUAGUAAUUUUUUAUCUCGCCUAUUAGUUGGACUAAUCCCCUGCCGUAAAACCCCCAAUUUAUCAAGGUUGACCUCGAAUCGGUUCAGACAAACUCGCUAAAUUGAAGCAUCUUAGUCAGCGAAGGAAAAGAAACCAACAGGGAUUGCCCUAGUAACGGCGAGUGAAGCGGCAA